rnacentral:rRNA from 1 species
AUUGAACGCUGGCGGCAUGCCUUACACAUGCAAGUCGAACGGCAGCACGGGGCAACCUGGUGGCGAGCGGCGAACGGGUGAGUAAUGCAUCGGAACGUACCUUUCAGUGGGGGAUAACGUAGCGAAAGUUACGCUAAUACCGCAUAUUCUGUGAGCAGGAAAGCAGGGGAUCGCAAGACCUUGCGCUGAUUGAGCGGCCGAUGUCAGAUUAGCUAGUUGGUGAGGUAAAGGCUCACCAAGGCGACGAUCUGUAGCGGGUCUGAGAGGAUGAUCCGCCACACUGGAACUGAGACACGGUCCAGACUCCUACGGGAGGCAGCAGUGGGGAAUUUUGGACAAUGGGGGCAACCCUGAUCCAGCCAUGCCGCGUGAGUGAAGAAGGCCUUCGGGUUGUAAAGCUCUUUCGGCCGGGAAGAAAUCGCACGGGCUAAUGCCCUGUGUGGAUGACGGUACCGGAAUAAGAAGCACCGGCUAACUACGUGCCAGCCGCCGCGGUAACAC